GCCUGGCGGAUUCUCCGGGCAGCUUCGGGCUACCCCGUGCCCAGGCUGGCUGAACCCCGGUCACAAGCCCUAAGGGACCCCGAAGAUCCGGCCAGAGACACCACUGGGACGCGUAGUUGUCUACCGCUGGGCGAGCCGAGAUUUGUAGUUUUCAAGUGUAGCCAACUAUUCUUUUUCUUCCCCUUCCCUUCCUUGUGACUCUUCCUAGGGGAACCGGCGGGACCUUUCCGAGGCAAAACGGCGAAGUGGGUGACUCUAGGCAUUCACUCGUUUCUCAUGCCGACCCUGUUAAGCACUCUCCCACCAGAACAUCUUCAGUUAAAAAUCGGAGCAGAGGAUCUGGUCUCCCAGUUCUGUCAUUUACGUGGGACACCAUGAAGCAGCUGCCAGUCUUGGAGCCUGGAGACAAACCCAGGAAAGCAACAUGGUCUGUAAAAGAGGAUUCACUCACAUGUGCAUGCACACACACACACACACACACA
rnacentral:lncRNA from 1 species